rnacentral:rRNA from 1 species
UACGGAGGGGGCUAGCGUUGUUCGGAAUGACUGGGCGUAAAGCGCACGUAGGCGGCUUUGCAAGUUAGAGGUGAAAGCCCGGGGCUCAACUCCGGAAUUGCCUUUAAAACUGCAUCGCUAGAAUUGUGGAGAGGUAAGUGGAAUUCCGAGUGUAGAGGUGAAAUUCGUAGAUAUUCGGAAGAACACCAGUGGCGAAGGCGACUUACUGGACACAUAUUGACGCUGAGGUGCGAAAGCGUGGGGAGCAAACAGG